AGCCCCUAUGUCGGCUUAGCUCAUCCACAUGAAUGCAGAAAUCAUGAAGGGUACGACUGUUCGUCGAUUAAAGAGCUACACGAGCUGGGUUAAAUACGUCGUGAGACAGUAUGGUUUCUAUCUUCUAG
rnacentral:rRNA from 1 species